CAGCGCGUUAACGUCUUUUUCGAGUCGCUCUGUGCCAACUGUACUUUCUGCACCUUCCUUUGGCUCGCGCCGUUUUCUUUUCUUUCUCUUGUUCCUCUCCCUCCUCGUAGGUCUCAUCGUUAAAUUACUGGAAUACAUGGAUCAUGUGCGAACAUGAGAUGAGAAGAUUUUCAACCGCGAGGCUCAGAUUUCACCCGCGUUUUCUGCGGGUAAGCAUCGGCUCGGCGACGAGGGAUAGCUGCAAGUAAUUGCACAGUUGGAGCACAGAUGGCGACGCUGUUCGGAUUGUCCGAUGACCGUUUGCAGUUAACUCAGACGCGCUCUUUGCUUCGAGAUUCUUUUCGGAUAAAAGAGAGGGACAGACGGUACUACACUUCAUCUUUUCUCGUCCGCCGACGUUGAUGAUUCCGAGAGCGGCUAUUUCAGGCGGGCUCUUUGCAGUUUUAUUUUCUCUCUAAAACUUAGAAGAAAGAGAGAAAGAGAGACGAGG